GGACGGACUGAGCUGGGAUCUGCUGAGGGAACGGCCCCCCUUCCCCACAGCUGCGUGGAAACAUCCCUCCUCUGGAACUGGGAGGCAGCUGGAUUCCGCUCAGCAAGAAGGAAUAACACGUCAAUGUAAGGGUGGGGUCAUCUAAGAUAGCACAAGGGUUAAUGCCACACUGAAAACGAGGCCCGAGCGACAGACGACCCAAGCUCCAAUGUCCACAUGAAGCCAGAGGACCAUGCAGUGAAGCUGGAGAUGAUGGAUGUAGAGCCAUUAUAGCUGAGUGUUUCAAAGCUUAAAGUUGGAAUGGAUCAAUCCUGUGGCUGAAGAGGGACUGGGAGGUUUUAUCUUCAUGAAGUAGACACUGCCUUCUCCUGUUCAAUGGUUUCUUUGGAGGGCAGUGUGUUUAUCUCUUGCGUCUCAGUUUUCUUCAGCUUGGUUUUGUCAAACCGGCUCACCUCAGUGAUGUCAGGUUUGUCAUCCAUGUUUCCGGAGAAUCAGGUGUUUGCUCAGAGAGACGACGAGACCACACAAUCAUUUCCUACAAGAGCAGAGAUAGCAGCAAAACUGUUUUCCAUCUGAACUUGGGCUUCUUCAGAUGGCAUUUUAAUGUUGAUCUACAUUUUUAUGAGAUCCUUUGGCAUAUUUCACUUCAUGCUUCUAAUAAAAAAUCAUUUUUUGGAUGAAGAGAUCUGGGAGUAAUCAGGCCUGGGUGUGGCAAAUGAAACUAAACUAUCGAUUUUCCAAAGAAGUGUCAGCAACCACAGUGAAAUCAUGAUUUAGAAUGGGGAGUUAUCUUUUUGAUAUGUAGGUUUGGACUUUUUUUGCCCCAAAUUAAUAAGAUAAUUUUUUUUCUCUGGAGUCACAAAGGUCCUCUUGUUUGAUAAUCUAAAAUAUUAUAAAUCAUGAACAUGUUAGGAAUUAGAAGGAGGCAGCCAGUUUUCUGCAGCACUGUACAUGGACUCCAACACUUGAUAAGAUUAUGUAUGGUAAUCCUCUCAUGCUAAUAAGAUAAGUAGAGCUUUAUUAAAAAUUAAAAACUCGCAUUAAACAGAAACCACUCACAUAAUUUCUGGCUUUAGUUUGCUCCCAUCAUGCCUCUCCAGGUAUGCCAUCCUACUUUAAUGAUCAAUUAAUUCUGAUUGGAUAACAUCUCAGGGUUCUUUGUAUCCAUUCUAUAAUACUGGAAUUAUUUUUCUAUUAAGGUUUGAACCUUGAGUGUUUAAAUAAAGAGAAAAAAUGGAAAUGGUCAUGUCUGUUGGAGAAACGUGUGUAGUGAGGGAUUUUACAGACUUAAAACAUCUGUAAUUAUUAUAAGACAUAUAAAAAGUAAAGAUGGUCACUUUAAAAUGUAACUUCCUUGAUAAACAAGGGGAACACUUUUGCACUAUUGUGGCUCCGUUGACUUAUUACAGCCAGAGAAUUAAACAUCCUUGGAGAAGAAAUAAUCUAAAUCUAAAAAAAAAUCUUUUAAUGUCAUAGUAAUUCAGAAAUCAGUACCGGUAAUUUUAGUGCAGCAAAUUUAACCAAUAGUCUAAAAAUCUUUAAAAAACAAAACACUUUCAUUUGGGUUGAAUUGGCCUUUAUACCUAACAAACAUUUUAGACCAAAAGGUCGUUUUUAGGCUGCAGUUCAAAUACUGAUAUUAGAAAAAAAAUAUUUACAACAGUUAUUUAUUUUUAUUUCUACUGUAAUAUUUCCCAAACCCUUCUUCACGCCCAUCUGUCUCCAUCCUCUGUGGGCUGGAAGUCUUUUUUGAACUUAAAAGCAACAGAGGACCCUGAAGCCUCCAAAAUAUUUACACAGGUGCUGCCUAUAACUGAAUCCCCCUGAAAAUAAGGGAGGCUGGUGGGCCCCCACUGGCUGACCACUGAAAUACAUUCUGUCAUUUAUCUGUAAUGACCGCCUUGGCUGUCCAGUUUAACGGAUCGCAGCUGCUAACAGCUGUGCUCUUCACAAAAAUUGUCAUGUUUGCAUAAACUUUGCUUCACUUUGAAUCACCUACUUGACGAUUAUAUUGUUUCCUGUGAAGCCAGACGGUGUUCCAGUUGUUGACUUUACAUGCCCUCUAGCCCGCGGUGUACGAAAAAAAAACAGCCCAAUGACUCAGUAGACUCAAAACGUUAAUCUGAGCUCCAGCUCGCCCUUAAAGGAUGCAUCCUUAAAAAUAAAAAAGUUGGAACAACAUGAAAUGUCAAAAGAUAAAAAAAAAAUGUCCGGAACGAGAGUGGGGCCUGACAAGAACAACAGAAGAAGACGUGACGGCUGUGUUGUUACAGUAGUUUGGAAAGGGCAUAUCACUUGGGUAUAUCAGCUUGUCCUGUGACUCACUGGAAUCUGCUCAGUCUCACUGGAGAUCAGCACGUGUCCUGCUCACUGUGCCGAAAUGUUCAGUGCGCUCCUCACGUAGCACUUACUUCCAACGGCCCAGCGCCGCAGCCACGUCUGUUUUCCAUUGUGCCGUCCACAUGCAGCUCAUAUGUAGAGCAGUUAAACGUGGUUCAGAGACGCUGAUGUCAUGGCUCCUUCUGCCAGCUGUGGUUUUGAGGUUGAGCGUUUCAGAGCUCGCGGAGCAGCGUUGCCCGCUGUGGGCUGUUGCAUUUGAGGCUCCCGAAUUCCCUAAAACCCUGGACCAACACCAUGCCUCUGGAGGCGUGUGCAUGUUGGUAUCUGCAAAAAACAUGUUGUUUUGGUUCUAAAAACAUGCUGAAAUAUGGAGGAAAACAAAAUUAGUAAAGAAGAAAUGCCUUCCUUGAGACUUCCAACAAUUCAGGAGAAUUAGAAAAUGACGACAUAUGAAAAAGAAAAAAAUUACAGAAGAGGAAAAAAAUAUUUUAAAUAGGGUAAAAGAUUGGUCCAAGUAAGCAUUGCUAUACAUCUAUUUGCCCAUCAAUUCUCUCAGGUCAGCUGAAGUGAGUCUACAUUCACAGCGUGCAUGUGGCGUGUGUUCUUUAACAUGCAUUUAGCCCAUGGUGUUCACACUGGACCGCCACUAUCUGAUACUAGCGCAUGCCCACCACCUGCAGUUGGAAAAGGCUUGGUGCUAAAUAUUGAACCUGUGCAAACUUCGUAAAUCUCACCCUAGCCUUUUGCUUUUGCUUUCACAGCUAUUCUGAUGCGUGAAAGACUUGCUGUCAUAUAAUUCUAGCCGAGCACCAACCACUUUCAUUAAUUUCUCUUUCUUGAUCAACUUUUAAAUAGUUGACUGUUCCAUGAAUUAAAAGGGAUGCCAUCCCAAAUCCACUACCAAAUCCAAGUCCCUGAUUGGUCAAAGUUCAACCUGGUUUAGCUUUCAGAGGGCGUUCAAUGGUACAAGAGUUUUGUACCCUGGAGCCCAAGACGCGUGUUUACAUAGACUUUUCAUUGAAAGUGGUCACUUGAAUGUUGGCGAUAUGAAUUUAACAUAAAGGUACACAUCACAACUGCCACUCUGUUCAAAAUGGUGUACUCAAUAAAGUUUUGUAAAAAU